rnacentral:misc_RNA from 1 species
UCCGGCUUAUCACCGGCAGUUUCUUUAGAGUCCCCAACUUAAUGAUGGCAACACACCACGGGGGUUGCGCUCGUUGCGGGACUUAACCCAACAUCUCACGACACGAGCUGACGACAGCCAUGCAGCAUCUGUGGUGCACCCUCGAAGGUCACACGUUUCCGUGCGCUUGCAGCACCAUGUCAAGUCCAGGUAAGGUUCUUCGCGUUGCAUCGAAUUAAAGAACAUGCUCCGCUGCUUGUGCGGGCCCCCGUCAAUUCUUUUGAGUUUUAGCCUUGCGGCCGUACUCCCCAGGCGGGACACUUAACGCGUUGGCUUCGGCACAGACAGAUUCGACUCCGCCCACACCUAGUGUCCAUCGUUUACGGCUAGGACUAC